AGAGUUUGAUCCUGGCUCAGGAUGAACGCUAGCUACAGGCUUAACACAUGCAAGUCGAGGGGCAGCAUGGUCUUAGCUUGCUAAGGCUGAUGGCGACCGGCGCACGGGUGAGUAACACGUAUCCAACCUGCCGUCUACUCUUGGCCAGCCUUCUGAAAGGAAGAUUAAUCCAGGAUGGGAUCAUGAGUUCACAUGUCCGCAUGAUUAAAGGUAUUUUCCGGUAGACGAUGGGGAUGCGUUCCAUUAGAUAGUAGGCGGGGUAACGGCCCACCUAGUCAACGAUGGAUAGGGGUUCUGAGAGGAAGGUCCCCCACAUUGGAACUGAGACACGGUCCAAACUCCUACGGGAGCAGCA
rnacentral:rRNA from 1 species